rnacentral:tRNA from 1 species
GGGGAGAUGGCAGAGCGGUCAAAUGCACCAGACUGUAAAUCUGGCGGCGGAAGCCUUCGGUGGUUCGAAUCCAUCUCUCCCCACAA